rnacentral:rRNA from 1 species
AUUGAACGCUGGCGGCAGGCCUAACACAUGCAAGUCGAACGGUAACAGGAAGCAGCUUGCUGCUUUGCUGACGAGUGGCGGACGGGUGAGUAAUGUCUGGGAAACUGCCUGAUGGGGGGGGAUAACUACUGGAAACGGUAGCUAAUACCGCAUAACGUCGCAAGACCAAAGAGGGGGACCUUCGGGCCUCUUGCCAUCGGAUGUGCCCAGAUGGGAUUAGCUUGUUGGUGGGGUAACGGCUCACCAAGGCGACGAUCCCUAGCUGGUCUGAGAGGAUGACCAGCCACACUGGAACUGAGACACGGUCCAGACUCCUACGGGAGGCAGCAGUGGGGAAUAUUGCACAAUGGGCGCAAGCCUGAUGCAGCCAUGCCGCGUGUAUGAAGAAGGCCUUCGGGUUGUAAAGUACUUUCAGCGGGGAGGAAGGGAGUAAAGUUAAUACCUUUACUCAUUGACGUUACCCGCAGAAGAAGCACCGUCUAACUCCGUG